rnacentral:lncRNA from 1 species
GAUGAAGAAGAAAUAAGAAAUAAAGGUUGAAUAAGAGAAGAAGCCAAGGUGUAACAUUUUAGAUAGACCUAGAGACCACCCUCGCACGGAAGAACAACGACUUGUGUGCCUCAGACAGUCAGUUUUCCUACGGUGGUGUCAAUGGCACCCAGAAGCAGUGCAUGUGUGACGGCUUCAGUGACUACUGCAGUAAUGGAUAGGAUGAGUUUAUGCAGCUGUGUGGAAUUGACGAGUGCCGGGAGAAGAAUGUCUGUGUGUGUGAGC